AUCCAGGGGCGGGAAUCGAACCCACAACCUUCUGCUUACCGGGCAGGUGCCAUGUCCACUAGGCUACCCUGGA